GACGGCGCACGGGUGAGUAACACGUAUCCAACCUGCCUCAUACUCGGGGAUAGCCUUUCGAAAGAAAGAUUAAUAUCCGAUAGCAUAUAUUUCCCGCAUGGGUUUAUAUUAAAGAAAUUCGGUUGAAGAUGGGGAUGCGUUCCAUUAGUUUGUUGGGGGGUAACGGCCCACCAAGACUACGAUGGAUAGGGGUUCUGAGAGGAAGGUCCCCCACAUUGGAACUGAGACACGGUCCAA
rnacentral:rRNA from 1 species